AGGAUUUUAUGUUACCUAAACAAGAAGCCUUCAAAGCUUAAAAGAAAAGUUCUUAACCUUUUAAAUCCUA
rnacentral:tRNA from 3 species